rnacentral:rRNA from 1 species
UACGUAGGGGGCAAGCGUUGUCCGGAAUCAUUGGGCGUAAAGAGCGUGUAGGCGGCCCGGUAAGUCCGCCGUGAAAGUCCAGGGCUCAACCCUGGAAUGCCGGUGGAAACUGCCGGGCUGGAGUCCGGAAGAGGCGAGUGGAAUUCCUGGUGUAGCGGUGAAAUGCGCAGAUAUCAGGAGGAACACCAAUGGCGAAGGCAGCUCGCUGGGACGGUACUGACGCUGAGACGCGAAAGCGUGGGGAGCAAACGGG